rnacentral:rRNA from 1 species
CCUACGGGAGGCAGCAGUAGGGAAUCUUCCACAAUGGGCGAAAGCCUGAUGGAGCAACGCCGCGUGGGUGAAGAAGGUCUUCGGAACGUAAAACCCUGUUGUUAGAGAAGAAAGUGCGUGAGAGUAACUGUUAACGUUUCGACGGUAUCUAACCAGAAAGCCACGGCUAACUACGGGCCAGCAGCCGCGGCAAUACGAAGGUGGCAAGCGUUAUCCGGAUUUAGUGGGCGUAAGGGGAACGCAGGCGGUCUUUUAAGUCUGAGGUGAAAGCCUUCGGCUUAACCGGAGUAGUGCAUUGGAAACUGGGAGACUUGAGUGCAGAAGAGGAGAGUGGAACUCCAUGGGUAGCGGUGAAAUGCGUAGAUAUAUGGAAGAACACCAGUGGCGAAAGCGGCUCUCUGGUCUGUAACUGACGCUGAGGUUCGAAAGCGUGGGUAGCAAACAGGAUUAGAUACCCGAGUAGUC